UCAGGACGAACGCUGGCGGCGUGCCUAACACAUGCAAGUCGAGCGAGGAGAUCCUUCGGGAUGAUCCUAGCGGCGGACGGGUGAGUAACACGUGGGCAACCUGCCUCAUAGAGAGGAAUAGCCUUCCGAAAGGGAGAUUAAUACCUCAUAACAUUGCAGUUUCGCAUGAAACAGCAAUUAAAGGAGCAAUCCGCUAUGAGAUGGGCCCGCGGCGCAUUAGCUAGUUGGUGAGGUAACGGCUCACCAAGGCGACGAUGCGUAGCCGACCUGAGAGGGUGAUCGGCCACAUUGGGACUGAGACACGGCCCAGACUCCUACGGGAGGCAGCAGUGGGGAAUAUUGCACAAUGGGGGAAACCCUGAUGCCAGCAACGCCGCGUGAGUGAUGACGGCCUUCGGGUUGUAAAGCUCUGUCUUCAGGGACGAUAAUGACGGUACCUGAGGAGGAAGCCACGGCUAACUACGUGCCAGCCGCCGC
rnacentral:rRNA from 1 species